AAUUACCAUUCACUUCAAACCUGAAUACAUGUACAGUGCAGUUGUCUGGACAGUGCAGUUGUCUGGCACAACACUAUUAUUGUAUAAUCUACAUUAGCUACAGGUCGCUAGCACGUCAGGUGGGCAGAAGAUACCUAGCUGCAUGUGUGAUACCAGGCCAGGUGACUGGGGGGGCUCCUGCGAAGAAGAGAAAGGGAACACCCGACACACAGUUUGUUCCCAAUUUCAUGGCAGCUUCUCGUCGAAUUGGUUGUUCACCCACCGCACUUCUCCCAGCGACGUCAGCUGCUACUCCCCCUCCUAUACAUGUCCUGAAUAAAUGAAUAAAGGAUGUAGCAUCUCAUAAUAGCUCCACUCUAAUAUCAGUUUGUUCGUUCCACAGUCCUAACAGAGCCUCACAGUCCACCUUUCAGCUGAGACUUACUAGUGGCAGCUAUUGCAUGGCGGACUGUUCAGUAACAUGUACAACAUUGCAAGACACUUGGCAGACCUUGAGACCCCGAAUACUGAAGAGCUGACCAGUGCAGUAACUAGCCUGGUGACUCUCCCUCUCUCUCCUUUCACACGAGACGGCUCACAGGCAUUAUCUUGGAGCUAUGUCGGGAAAGAAAGAUGACAUCAUGUGAUUUUGGGAGAACUAAAACAGGCAGACUCAGCAUAUAUAAUUAUAUAUAUAAUUAUGCAUAGUUAAUUUUCUAUAAUUAUUAUUAUCAUCAUUGCAGGUCAUUUAUUUGCAUAAUUGAGUCAUGAUU